rnacentral:rRNA from 1 species
CACGUAGGGAGCAAGCGUUGUCCGGAUUUAUUGGGCGUAAAGAGCUCGUAGGUGGUUCGGUAAGUCAGGUGUGAAACCUCCAGGCUCAACCUGGAGACGCCACUUGAUGACUGCUGUGACUGGAGUCCGGUAGGGGAGCGUGGAAUUCCGUGGUGUAGCGGUGAAAUGCGCAGAUAUCAGGAGGAACACCGGUGGCGAAGGCGGGUCUCUGGACAGUUCCUGACGCUGAGGCACGAAGGCCAGGGGAGCAAACGGG